rnacentral:rRNA from 1 species
ACGAACGCUGGCGGCGUGCCUAAUACAUGCAAGUCGAACGCACUCUCGUUUAGAUUGAAGGAGUUUGCUCCUGAUUGAUAAACAUUUGAGUGAGUGGCGGACGGGUGAGUAACACGUGGGUAACCUGCCCUAAAGUGGGGGAUAACAUUUGGAAACAGAUGCUACUACCGCAUAAAACCUAACACCGCAUGGUGUAGGGUUGAAAGAUGGUUUCGGCUAUCACUUUAGGAUGGACCCGCGGUGCAUUAGUUAGUUGGUGAGGUAAAGGCUCACCAAGACCGUGAUGCAUAGCCGACCUGAGAGGGUAAUCGGCCACACUGGGACUGAGACACGGCCCAGACUCCUACGGGAGGCAGCAGUAGGGAAUCUUCCACAAUGGACGAAAGUCUGAUGGAGCAACGCCGCGUGAGUGAAGAAGGUGUUCGGAUCGUAAAACUCUGUUGUUGGAGAAGAAUGUAUCUGAUAGUAACUGAUCAGGUAGUGACGGUAUCCAACCAGAAAGCCACGGCUAACUACGUG